rnacentral:rRNA from 1 species
UACAGAGGUCCCAAGCGUUACUGAGAAUCACUGGGUUUAAAGGGUGCGUAGGUGGUCCGUUAAGUCAGUUGUGAAAUCCCCGGGCUCAACCCGGGAACUGCUUCUGAUACUGGCGGACUUGAGGCCAGUAGGGGUCACUAGAACUGACGGUGGAGCGGUGAAAUGCGUAGAUAUCGUAAGGAAGACCAGUGGCGAAGGCGAAUCUCUGGACAGUUACUGACGCUGAGGCACGAAGGCCAGGGGAGCAAACGGG